AUUGAACGCUGGCGGCAUGCCUUACACAUGCAAGUCGAACGGCAGCGGGGACUUCGGUCCGCCGGCGAGUGGCGAACGGGUGAGUAAUGUAUCGGAACGUACCUUUCAGUGGGGGAUAACGUAGCGAAAGUUACGCUAAUACCGCAUAUUCUCUGAGGAGGAAAGCAGGGGACCUUCGGGCCUUGUGCUGAUGGAGCGGCCGAUAUCAGAUUAGCUAGUUGGUGAGGUAAAGGCUCACCUAGGCGACGAUCAGUAGCGGGUCUGAGAGGAUGAUCCGCCACACUGGGACUGAGACACGGCCCAGACUCCUACGGGAGGCAGCAGUGGGGAAUUUUGGACAAUGGGCGAAAGCCUGAUCCAGCCAUGCCGCGUGUCUGAAGAAGGCCUUCGGGUUGUAAAGGACUUUUGUCGGGGAGGAAAUCCCCAGCGCUAAUACCGCUGGGGGAUGACAGUACCUGAAGAAUAAGCACCGGCUAACUACGUGCCAGCCGCCGCGGUAAUAC
rnacentral:rRNA from 1 species